rnacentral:misc_RNA from 1 species
UUAAUAAUUUUAUAAAGCUCAGACAACAUAAUAAAAGAGUUUUGUGGAUUCUCUGGCAGGCACUGACCAGCCUAAGCCAGUGGUCAUUAGACGGGCCUGCCAAAGCAACAAAAGGUGUGUAAACAAAGGGUGGGAGAUAUACCCCAAAGGGGCAUGUUCUCUGUAAUGAUCCUUCCGCAGGUUCACCUACGGAAA